GAUGAACGCUGGCGGCGUGCCUAAUACAUGCAAGUCGAGCGAACGGACGAGAAGCUUGCUUCUCUGAUGUUAGCGGCGGACGGGUGAGUAACACGUGGAUAACCUACCUAUAAGACUGGGAUAACUUCGGGAAACCGGCGCUAAUACCGGAUGAUAUUUUGAACCGCAUGGUUCAAAAGUGAAAGACGGUCUUGCUGUCACUUAUAGAUGGAUCCGCGCUGCAUUAGCUAGUUGGUAAGGUAACGGCUUACCAAGGCAACGAUGCAUAGCCGACCUGAGAGGGUGGACGGCCACACUGGAACUGAGACACGGUCCAGACUCCUACGGGAGGCAGCAGUAGGGAAUCUUCCGCAAUGGGGGAAAGCCUGACAGAGCAACGCCGCGGGAGGGAUGAAGGUCUUCGGAUCGUAAAACGCUGUUAUUAGGGAAGAACAUAUGUGUAAGUAACUGUGCACAUCUUGACGGUACCUAAUCAGAAAGCCACGGCUAACUACGUG
rnacentral:rRNA from 1 species